rnacentral:tRNA from 1 species
GGAGAGAUGGCAGAGUGGUUGAAUGCACCGGUCUUGAAAACCGGCAUAGGUGCGAGCCUAUCCAGGGUUCGAAUCCCUGUCUCUCCG